rnacentral:rRNA from 1 species
AGAGUUUGAUCAUGGCUCACAAUGAACGCUGGCGGCGCGCCUAAUACAUGCAAGUCGAGCGAGAAGACGUAGCACUACGUUUGUAAAGCGGCGAACGGGUGAGGAAUACAUGGGUAACCUACCCUCGAGUGGGGAAUAACUAGCCGAAAGGUUACCUAAUACCGCGUACGCUCCUUGGACUUCGGUUCACGGAGGAAAGCGAUACCGAGGGUAUCGCGCUCUUGGAUGGGCUCAUGUCCUAUCAGCUUGUUGGUGAGGUAACGGCUCACCAAGGCUUCGACGGGUAGCUGGUCUGANAGGACGAUCAGCCACACUGGCACUGCGACACGGGCCAGACUCCUACGGGAGGCAGCAGUAAGGAAUAUUGCGCAAUGGGCGAAAGCCUGACGCAGCGACGCCGCGUGGGGGAUGAAGGUCUUCGGAUUGUAAACCCCUUUCGGGAGGGAAGAUGGAACGAGCAAUCGUUCGGACGGUACCUCCAGAAGCAUCCACGGUUAACUUCGUGCCACCAGCCGCGGUAAUACGAANGUGGGAAGCGUUAUUCGGAUUUACUGGGCGUACAGAGAGCGUAGGCGGUUCGGUAAGCCCUUUGUGAAAUCUCCAGGCUUAACCUGGAACAUGCGGAGGGGACUGCCGGGCUAGAGGACGGGAGAGGAGCGCGGAAUUCUCGGUGUAGCGGNGAAAUGCGUAGAGAUCGGGAGGAAUGCCGGUGGCGAAGGCGGCGCUCUGGAACGUUUCUGGCGCUGAGGCUCGAAAGCGUGGGGAGCAAACAGGAUUAGAUACCCUGGUAGUCCACGCCCUUAACUAUGAAUACUAAGUGUCGGCGGGUUACCGCCGGUGCCGCAGCUAACGCAGUAAGUAUCCCGCCUGGGGAGUACGGCCGCAGGGUUGAAACUCAAAGGAAUUGACGGGGGCCCGCACAAGCGGUGGAGCAUGU